CCUCCUUAUACGAUUUAGAACUUAUUUGUUCGUAGUGUCCACACAGAUGAUUGUUAGUUAGUUUUACCCUUUGGGUUUAACUGAUUAAUAUGCUCUUUAAAAAUUUGGAAAAGCUGAUAAUAAAAUUCUGAUAAAUAUUCGUAUUUAUCAAGAGUUUUCAAGAGUAAAAAAGAAUGAUAGCAGUAUCAUUCAGUGCCAAUUUAAUCAUUCGUGAUUAAUUGGUAUCUACUUUUAGUAUUCAAUAUUAACUUCUGGCGAAGUUAAACUGUCACAUAACAAAGACCCGUUCUGGGUUGUAUGGUUAACUGACUAACCGUACACGGUGGAUGCCCUUGGCCAGUUCGGGAGGCGAUGAAGGACGUAUUUAACUUUGCGAAUAAGCCCUAAGUCCACGCCUAAUUAAAAAAGCCGCUUUGAAGAACUAAGGGAAUUUCCCGAAAUUGGGGGAAAACCCCAAAGGGGGCGAAAUUUUCUUGGCCAGAACUUAUUCCCCAUCCACAAACUA
rnacentral:misc_RNA from 1 species